CUCAGGACGAACGCUGGCGGCGUGCCUAAUACAUGCAAGACGAACGCUUUGAUUUUCACCGGAGCUUGCUCCACCGAAAAUCAAAGAGUGGCGGACGGGUGAGUAACACGUGGGCAACCUGCCCRACAGAGGGGGAUAACACUUGGAAACAGGUGCUAAUACCGCAUAAUUUGUUUUUCCGCAUGGAAGAAUAAUAAAAGACGCUUCGGUGUCACUGUUGGAUGGGCCCGCGCUGCAUUAGUUAGUUGGUGGGGUAACGGCCUACCAAGACCAUGAUGCAUAGCCGACCUGAGAGGGUGAUCGGCCACACUGGGACUGAGACACGGCCCAGACUCCUACGGGAGGCAGCAGUAGGGAAUCUUCGGCAAUGGACGAAAGUCUGACCGAGCAACGCCGCGUGAGUGAAGAAGGUUUUCGGAUCGUAAAACUCUGUUGUUAGAGAAGAACAAGUGAGAGAGUUACUGUUCUCACCUUGACGGUAUCUAACCAGAAAGCCACGGCUAACUACGUGCCAGCAGCCGCGGUAAUACGUAGGUGGCAAGCGUUGUCCGGAUUUAUUGGGCGUAAAGCGAGCGCAGGCGGUUUCUUAAGUCUGAUGUGAAAGCCCUCGGCUCAACCGAGGAAGGUCAUUGGAAACUGGGGAACUUGAGUGCAGAAGAGGAGAGUGGAAUUCCAUGUGUAGCGGUGAAAUGCGUAGAUAUAUGGAGGAACACCAGUGGCGAAGGCGACUCUCUGGUCUGUAACUGACGCUGAGGCUCGAAAGCGUGGGGAGCAAACAGGAUUAG
rnacentral:rRNA from 1 species